UAAGAUAACUGAGUUCCAGAUGAAGUUUAUUCACUUUGAGAGAGAUACGCAAUCACCAAUCUAGUAGAAGAUUAUCAAGCCAUUGUUAAAAUGCCUUCUUCGGAGUUCUCUAAAAUCUACAAAUUUCUCUCAACCAUUGCCAAGAGAGGUAAGUUGUGUUGAGACUUAACAUUUGAUUUCAUAUUCAGUGGAUUCUACUUUGUGACUAUAGUUGAAUUGUUCUAUGUCAUAAUAACAUUCCCGAAGAGUUAAUGUACAUCAGUAAUUAUGCUGAUUUCUGUUGUUACGUAUGGAUUAGGAUUUGAAACUGGUGAAAGUAAAAUUUAGUCGGCACUUAUAUGAAUCAAAUUGUUUUUAAAGCCUUGUAAGGACAGUGAGAAGCGGGUGGCGUCGAGUUUACAUAAUUUAGUAAUCAAAUUCAUGUAUAGAAGCCCUGCCAUUGAAGGCAGGGUUAUAUCAACUGUAUAUUUGUUUCAUGGAAGCAAU